rnacentral:rRNA from 1 species
GAUAAACGCUGGCGGCGCACAUAAGACAUGCAAGUUGAACGGACUUAAUCGAAAUAUUUAUAUUUUGAAGCGGUUAGUGGCGGACUGGUGAGUAACGCGUAAGGAACCUGCCUAUUAGAGGGGAAUAACAGUGAGAAAUCAUUGCUAAUACCGCAUAUGCCAUAGAUAUCACAUGAUAACAGUGGGAAAGGAGCAAUCCGCUAAUAGAUGGCCUUGCGUCUGAUUAGAUAGUUGGUGGGGUAACGGCCUACCAAGUCGACGAUCAGUAGCCGGACUGAGAGGUUGAACGGCCACAUUGGGACUGAGAUACGGCCCAGACUCCUACGGGAGGCAGCAGUCGGGAAUAUUGCGCAAUGGAGGAAACUCUGACGCAGUGACGCCGCGUAUAGGAAGAAGGUUUUCGGAUUGUAAACUAUUGUCGUUAGGGAAGAGAAAGGACGGUACCUAAGGAGGAAGCUCCGGCUAACUACGUG